rnacentral:RNase_P_RNA from 1 species
CCAGUUGGCUGGGCAGCCGCGCUUUACCAAUGCCGAAAGGCGGUAGGGUGAGGAAAGUCCGGGCUCCACGGAAACACGGUGCCGGAUAACGUCCGGCGAGGGCGACCUCAGGGAAAGUGCCACAGAAAGCAAACCGCCUGUCAUGACAGGUAAGGGUGAAAGGGUGGGGUAAGAGCCCACCGCAUCUCCGGCAACGGAAAUGGCACGGUAAACCCCACCGGGAGCAAGACCGAAUAGGGAUGACGCGGCAGGCCGAAAGGCCUUCCGGCCGGUUUCCAGGCCAGUCAUCCGGGUGGGUUGCGCGAGGCAGCGUGCGAACGCUGUCCCAGAGGAAUGGCUGCCACGUUCCGGUUCACGCCGGAGCCAUACAGAACCCGGCUUACAGGCCAACUGGCGAU